rnacentral:rRNA from 1 species
AACGAACGCUGGCGGCAGGCUUAACACAUGCAAGUCGAGCGCCCCGCAAGGGGAGCGGCAGACGGGUGAGUAACGCGUGGGAACGUGCCCUUUGGUUCGGAACAACUCCGGGAAACUAGAGCUAAUACCGGAUAAGCCCUUCGGGGGAAAGAUUUAUCGCCAAAGGAUCGGCCCGCGUCUGAUUAGCUAGUUGGUGAGGUAAUGGCUCACCAAGGCGACGAUCAGUAGCUGGUCUGAGAGGAUGAUCAGCCACACUGGGACUGAGACACGGCCCAGACUCCUACGGGAGGCAGCAGUGGGGAAUAUUGGACAAUGGGCGCAAGCCUGAUCCAGCCAUGCCGCGUGAGUGAUGAAGGCCUUAGGGUUGUAAAGCUCUUUUGUCCGGGAAGAUAAUGACUGUACCGGAAGAAUAAGCCCCGGCUAACUUCGUGCCAGCAGCCGCAGUAACAC